AUACGUAGGGGGCGAGCGUUGUCCGGAAUUAUUGGGCGUAAAGCGCGCGCAGGCGGUCCCUUAAGUCUGAUGUGAAAGCCCACGGCUCAACCGUGGAGGGUCAUUGGAAACUGGGGGACUUGAGUGCAGAAGAGGAGAGCGGAAUUCCACGUGUAGCGGUGAAAUGCGUAGAGAUGUGGAGGAACACCAGUGGCGAAGGCGGCUCUCUGGUCUGUAACUGACGCUGAGGCGCGAAAGCGUGGGGAGCAAACAGGAUUAGAUACCCUGGUAGUCCACGCCGUAAACGAUGAGUGCUGAGUGUUAGAGGGGUCAAACCCUUUAGUGCUGUAGCUAACGCGUUAAGCACUCCGCCUGGGGAGUACGGCCGCAAGGCUGAA
rnacentral:rRNA from 1 species